rnacentral:rRNA from 1 species
GUGGGGAAUAUUGCGCAAUGGGCGGAAGCCUGACGCAGCGACGCCGCGUGGGGGAUGACGGCCUUCGGGUUGUAAACCUCUUUCAGCAGGGACGAAGUUGACGUGUACCUGCAGAAGAAGCGCCGGCUAACUACGUGCCAGCAGCCGCGGUAAUACGUAGGGCGCAAGCGUUGUCCGGAAUUAUUGGGCGUAAAGAGCUCGUAGGUGGCGUGUCGCGUCUGCCGUGAAAGCCCAUGGCUUAACUGUGGGUCUGCGGUGGAUACGGGCAGGCUGGAGGCUGGUAGGGGCAAGCGGAAUUCCUGGUGUAGCGGUGAAAUGCGCAGAUAUCAGGAGGAACACCGGUGGCGAAGGCGGCUUGCUGGGCCAGUUCUGACGCUGAGGAGCGAAAGCGUGGGGAGCGAACAGGAUUAGAAACCCUAGUAGUCC